UACGUAGGGGGCAAGCGUUGUCCGGAAUCAUUGGGCGUAAAGCGCACGUAGGCGGCCCGAUAAGUCCGCUGUAAAAGUCAAAGGCUCAACCUUUGAAAGCCGGUGGAAACUGUCGGGCUAGAGUCCGGAAGAGGCGAGUGGAAUUCCUGGUGUAGCGGUGGAAUGCGCAGAUAUCAGGAGGAACACCGAUAGCGAAGGCAGCUCGCUGGGACGGUACUGACGCUGAGGUGCGAAAGCGUGGGGAGCGAACAGG
rnacentral:rRNA from 1 species